ACUGACUGUGUUCUCUGUCCUCUCCAGGGUGUCCACAUUGUAAGAGCUCCGUCCCCGACUUCACAUCCGCAGCUGAAGAGUUCAAAGAUGACCGCAAGAUUGCCUACGGCGCGGUGGACUGUACCAAAGAGAAGAACCAGGAGCUGUGUAAGCAGGAGGGAGUGGAGGGCUUCCCCACCUUCAACUACUACAACUACGGCAAAUUCAGCGAGAAAUACAACGGAGAGCGUGCGGAAUCCGGCUUUGUCGGCUUCAUGCGAUCUCUGCGUGAGAAGGAUCACGGCAAGCUGGGCAAGAAGAAGGAAGAGCUUUAAUGGUGGAGCCGGCGGCGUGUGCGCUACAGAAACAUUGCCCCAAAUCCAGGACCAAGGACCCCCCCCCAUCCCCCAACAGAUCUAUGGCGGGGCACUACAGACUACCCCCAACUUUCCUGCCCCCCCCCGCCGUAAACUUUCAGCGCUCCAAGACUCUCAGCGGGCCCAAUCCAUGCACCGUAUAUCCAUUGUAUCGCUCCCCCAUUACGGGGGCGGUCCUGUCCAUGUAGUAGGGCAGGGGUGGCCCCCCCGUGGGUCCCGAAUGGGGGGGUCUCGCUGAGGCUUCCAUUCACAGAUGCAAGUUUGAUUAUUUGAAGGAGAUAGAAACCACUUUUUUUUUGUUUGUUUUGUAUUUUUUCCUUUUUAUAUUUAAUCGUUUAUUUGUAUGCAGUUCAUCGUACGCAGUUACUGAAUUCACGGGACAAAGUCACGGGACGACGAUCGGCUCACCAGGAAGCCGGCACUUUUUUUUCCUGGUGAAAUGCGUCGAGUAGAAGAACGGGACGAGAGGGCGGGUGUAUUUAAAGGGAUAGUUCACCUUUUACAGAAAAAAAGGCAAAGGAUGAACGAACACCCCUCCCCCUCCACCCACCCUGUCUUUUUCUUGUGCGCGAUGAAGGGCCGCCAUCGGCCCCCGCUCCGGCUUCUGAGGUUCACAGGCUGCUCUUGCGGUGAAGUCGUUCAUCACCAGCGCCGGAGGCUUCUUGUCCGUUUUUAAGGUUCUGCUUUGUCCUAUAGAGAUUAGCGGGUCGGGAUACUGUGGUUUGAUUUGUGUUUUUAUUUUUUUUGCCAAAAAAAGAUUUUUGCUACAAAAAAACAAACCGUAACGUGCAACCCGUUUUUGUCCUCGUAGCCGCCAUUUUGGAUCCAAUCCAUAAAAUAAAAAAAAUGGUUGCCUGCAGUAUGUAUUUUAAAGAGGACCUGUCACAAACCUUCACUCUCGUCUCAGGCCCCCCCCCCCCCCCUCCCAGGGGACGGGGCGCGGAGUCCAGCAUAGUAGCCAUGUUUGUAUCAAAGUUUGUAGCCUGAGAAUCAGAGACCCUUUAUGGCCGCUUCUGCUGUACAGUGGAACCUCGGAUUGCGAGUAACGCGGUUUAACGAGUGUUUCGCAAUACGAGCGCUGUUUGUUUUUU